GGGCCCGCACAAGCAGCGGAGCAUGUGGUUUAAUUCGAAGCAACGCGAAGAACCUUACCUAGACUUGACAUCCCCUGCAUAACCCAGAGAUGGGCGAAGUCCUUCGGGACAGGGUGACAGGUGGUGCAUGGUUGUCGUCAGCUCGUGUCGUGAGAUGUUGGGUUAAGUCCCGCAACGAGCGCAACCCUUAUCAUUAGUUGCUACCAUUAAGUUGAGCACUCUAGUGAGACUGCCCGGGUUAACCGGGAGGAAGGUGGGGAUGACGUCAAAUCAUCAUGCCCCUUAUGUCUAGGGCUACACACGUGCUACAAUGGUGAGUACAAAGAGAUGCAAGACCGCAAGGUGGAGCCAAACUCAAAAACUCAUCCCAGUUCGGAUUGUAGGCUGCAACUCGCCUACAUGAAGCCGGAGUUGCUAGUAAUCGCGAAUCAGCAUGUCGCGGUGAAUACGUUCCCGGGCCUUGUACACACCGCCCGUCACACCAUGAGAGCUGGUAACACCCGAAGUCCGUGAGGUAACCGUAAGGAGCCAGCGGCCGAAGGUGGGAUUAGUGAUUGGGGUG
rnacentral:rRNA from 1 species